rnacentral:rRNA from 1 species
GACGUAGGGUGCGAGCGUUGUCCGGAUUUAUUGGGCGUAAAGAGCUCGUAGGCGGCUCGUCGCGUCAGCUGUGAAAUUCCGUGGCUUAACUGCGGGCUUGCAGCUGAUACGGGCGGGCUAGAGUUCGGUAGGGGAGACUGGAAUUCCUGGUGUAGCGGUGAAAUGCGCAGAUAUCAGGAGGAACACCGGUGGCGAAGGCGGAUCUCUGGGCCGAUACUGACGCUGAGGAGCGAAAGCGUGGGGAGCGAACAGG